rnacentral:rRNA from 1 species
ACUAAAGCUAGAACCUCUAGUAUACUGCUAGGCAUAGGCACAGAACAGGACUAGUACCAGUAGCUUUGCAGUCAAUGAUGAAUGCCAUAGGUUAGAUAAAAUUAGACUAUAAAUGAAAAUGUAAGCAUUACCUCAGAGUAAUGUGGCAACCGAGGAACUAAAUCACUAGACCGUUCUGAACCAGUAGUGAAGUAUGUGUUUAAUUCGAUGAUCCACGAAAAACCUUACCACAAUUGUAUAUUUUACAGGAGUUGCACGGCUGUCUUCAGUUGAUGUUGUGAAACUGUGGUUUCCAUGAAUUAACGCAAUCCCUUGCUUUAUUUUUGUUCGUACAAACUAAGGCUUAGUUAAAGCUAUAUUUAGUUACUAUAAAGCAUUUGACCCUAUAAUUUGGGAAGAAAAAAGGGAGUAAGACAAGUCAUCAUGGCCUUAAUACUGUGGGCUAUAAACGUGCCACAUAAGCCUAUACAAANANAUACAAA